rnacentral:rRNA from 1 species
AAUCAACGCUGGCGGCGUGCCUAACACAUGCAAGUCGAACGAGAAGGUGACUUCGGUCACUGGAUAGUGGCGUCCGGGUGAGUAACACGUAGGUAAUCUACCUUCGGGUGGGGAAUAACGUCUCGAAAGAGACGCUAAUACCGCAUAAUGCAGCGGCACCUAAUGGUGAUUAGUUGUUAAAGCGGGGGAUCUUCGGACCUCGCGCCUGAAGAGGAGCCUGCGGCAGAUUAGCUAGUUGGUGAGGUAAUGGCUCACCAAGGCUUCGAUCUGUAGCUGGUCUGAGAGGACGGCCAGCCACACUGGCACUGACACACGGGCCAGACUCCUACGGGAGGCAGCAGUGGGGAAUUUUGGGCAAUGGGCGAAAGCCUGACCCAGCAACGCCGUGUGAAGGAGGAAAUCCUUC